UCACACCAGAAUAAAAGUCUCCCUGGGAAGGUCUCUGCUUGGAGUCCCAUGUGCCCUGGGCGGCCCCGCUGCUCGGGCGUAAGGCAGGAGCCUCCUCUCCCACUCCUGGGGGUCCUCUCCACUCGUCACUCUGUCCACGGUUUCUCAAAGUGCAGCUCAGGGACCUACGUCAGAAUCAGGACGGUGCUUCGCAACGCUGACCCGGAGCUCCUCUGCUCGCCCCUCCUCACCGGAGGGUCAGUGGGCGGGAUGGCCUGGGAUGCCGCCCUUUAUCACCCAGCACCCCCAACCGCCACCCGGUGCACAGAGGCUGGGGCUGCCCCGGCUUCUCCCGCUGGUCUUCCGAUUCCUCCGCACUCAGCACAUCGUAGCUUCAGCAUUUCCCGUGGACGACCUUUGCUUGUGGCUCGUUUUCCUAACUCAGCAGUAGGCCUUCGAGACCGGGGGCCAUUUCUCAUGGCUCCAUGGAGACCCGUCUGACCAGCAGAUGUCCAGUAAAUGUCUUCCAUGCAGAUAAGGACACUGAGACAUUCUGAUCCCAGGCAGUCUAGCUCCAGCAACUGUGGUUUCCCCGGCUUGCAGCCUCUCGAAGACCUUAGCCCCUGGCGAUGUCAGUUUGGAACCUAAGAGCCCAGACGCCACUGCUGCAAAGAAGACGCAUCAGCACUUGUGACUGGAGUGUAUUCUCGCCAACCCCUCCCCCAAGCCUACACCCCAAACCUGUUUGUCCUCUGUGCUCCCCGUCUCAUCACAGCACCAUUCGCCUAAUCACCAAGCCAUAAAUCGCCAACCCCUCCCUACCUGUCACCCCCACCAUCUCAUCCGUCACUCGCCCUGACAGUUCCAGCACCAGGUCCCUCCUUGGCCAGUCUCCAAUCCUCCGUAGACAUAGUCACUGCCCAGCUCAGGCCCUCGUCACCUCCUACCCGGUGGGUUGCAAACACUCUCUCCUUUCCAAGCCAUUUGUCAUUCCUUUGCCAGUUAUUCUCCAAAAAGUAGAUCUAGUGACACUGUGAGGCUCUAAAUCCUCCAGUGGUUCCUUGCUGCCUACAGCGGAUGGCUUGGCCAGGGAGGUCCAUUAGAGGGUGGCUCCUACACUUUUCCUGUCACCUGCCCUAUCCCCCUGUUCCCUUGAUCUCGGGCAAGGGGGUCCUGAACAAGCCGUGACAUCUCACACCUCAGGGCCUUUGCUCAUGCUGUAUUCUCUGUCCGAAAUGCCCUUCCUCUUCUCAGACGAGCACACAGUCUGCUUGUCAUCGUGCUGGGAUGACAUCUCCACUUUCCCCACCUCAGCACCCCUGGUGGAACCCAUCGUCCCCUAAGCGUACAGCGCACGGCCUACUGGGGCACUGACAACUGUCAUGUGCCUGGUCUCCAGCUCGAGCACCUUGGGUGCUGGACCGUGCUCAGCUGUGCGUGUCCACCCAAGGGCUGGGUGGGAGAUUGUGAGGUUAAGAAACAUGAAAUCUUAUGUGAAAAAUAGAGUUCACAAAGAUAAAAUUAUGUGAGCUACAUACCGAAGAAGGGCAUCUAGGACAUUUUACACGACUAAUCUGUGCUGAUGAGGUUCGUGCCAUUCCUGACCCUUACCACGCGUGCCCCAUCAGAAACUGCAGGGUCUCUUCCAUGCAUCUUCAGUGAGGCGCCUGUACAUUUGCUUCGCUUUAUGGAAGAUCACAUACGUACUAAGAGCCGUUUUCUGUGUUUUGCCUCGUCUUCCAUCUACAUGUUAAAAGUCCUCUAAUGUCCUGUCUCAGUCACUGUCCUCAUCUGCUAAUCCCCACGGAGUGGCCCACUUGAAGUUCUGUAACGCGUUGAGGCUUUAGUAAAAGGAUUGAAGGAUAA